GAUGAACGCUGGCGGCGUGCCUAAUACAUGCAAGUCGAACGCUUAAAUGCGGUGAAGGGUGGCCUACGGGUGGGGGAUGACUAAGGAACCACGCAUCUACAGGGGGAUAACUGGUGGGAGCGUCAGCUGAGACCGCGGAGCUGUAGAGAUCGCAUAUACUCUAUAUGAAAAGUGCUACGGGACUGGUGGAUGUUGGGCUUCUGGCGCAUUAGCUUGUUGGUAGGGUAACGGCCUACCAAGGCGACGAUGCGUAACCGACCUGAGAGGGUGAUCGGCCACACUGGAACUGAGACACGGUCCAGACUCCUACGGGAGGCAGCAGUAGGGAAUUUUCGGCAAAGGGGGAAAGCCUGACCGAGCAACGCCGCGUGAAGGAAGAAGUACUUCGGUACGUAAAACUCUGUUAUAGAGGAAGAACGGUUGUUAUAGGGAAUGAUAUCGAAGUGACGGUACUCUAUCAGAAAGCCACGGCUAACUACGUG
rnacentral:rRNA from 1 species